UGGGCGUAAAGAGCUCGUAGGCGGCUUGUAAGUCGGAUGUGAAAUCUCCAGGCUCAACCUGGGGUCGCCAUCCGAUACUGCCAUGGCUUGAGUCCGGUAAGGGACCAUGGAAUUCCUGGUGUAGCGGUGAAAUGGCCAGAUAUCAGGAGGAACACCGUGGGCGAAGGCGGUGGCUGGGCCCGUACUGACCCUGAGGAGCGAAAGCGUGGGGAGCAAACAGGAUUAGAUACCCUGGUAUCCCACGCCGUAAACAUUGGGCACUAGGUGUGGGGCCUUUUCAACGGGUUCCGUGCCGUAUCUAACGCAUUAAGUGCCCCGCCUGGGGAGUACGGCC
rnacentral:rRNA from 1 species